rnacentral:rRNA from 1 species
GUGCGUAACGCGUAUACAAUCUGCCUUUCACUGGGGGAUAGCCCGAAGAAAUUUGGAUUAAUACCCCAUAGUAUAURAGGACGGCAUCGUUWUUAUAUUAAAGCUWMGGUGGUGAAAGAUGAGUAUGCGUUCUAUUAGCUAGUUGGAGAGGUAACGGCUCCCCAAGGCGAUGAUAGAUAGGGGUUCUGAGAGGGAUGUCCCCCACACUGGUACUGAGAUACGGACCAGACUCCUACGGGAGGCAGCAGUGAGGAAUAUUGGACAAUGGUCGGAAGACUGAUCCAGCCAUGCCGCGUGCAGGAUGAMGGYCUUAUGGRUUGUAAACUGCU